rnacentral:rRNA from 1 species
AGGCCUUUCGGGGUACACGAGCGGCGAACGGGUGAGUAACACGUGGGUGAUCUGCCCUGCACUUCGGGAUAAGCCUGGGAAACUGGGUCUAAUACCGGAUAUGACCUCCUAUCGCAUGGUGGGUGGUGGAAAGAUUUAUCGGUGCAGGAUGGGCCCGCGGCCUAUCAGCUUGUUGGUGGGGUAAUGGCCUACCAAGGCGACGACGGGUAGCCGACCUGAGAGGGUGACCGGCCACACUGGGACUGAGACACGGCCCAGACUCCUACGGGAGGCAGCAGUGGGGAAUAUUGCACAAUGGGCGAAAGCCUGAUGCAGCGACGCCGCGUGAGGGACGACGGCCUUCGGGUUGUAAACCUCUUUCAGCAGGGACGAAGCGCAAGUGACGGUACCUGCAGAAGAAGCACCGGCUAACUACGUGCCAGCAGCCGCGGUAAUACGUAGGGUGCAAGCGUUGUCCGGAAUUACUGGGCGUAAAGAGUUCGUAGGCGGUUUGUCACGUCGUUUGUGAAAACUCACAGCUCAACUGUGAGCCUGCAGGCGAUACGGGCAGACUUGAGUACUGCAGGGGAGACUGGAAUUCCUGGUGUAGCGGUGAAAUGCGCAGAUAUCAGGAGGAACACCGGUGGCGAAGGCGGGUCUCUGGGCAGUAACUGACGCUGAGGAACGAAAGCGUGGGUAGCGAACAGGAUUAGAUACCCUGGUAGUCCACGCCGUAAACGGUGGGCGCUAGGUGUGGGUUCCUUCCACGGAAUCCGUGCCGUAGCUAACGCAUUAA